GAAAGAGUGAGAGCAUGAUAAAGACAGAGAGCUGUGUGGGAGAAGGUAUGCGUGUGACAGAGGGAAUGUCAGACACAAGGUUGGAGAAGCAUAGAGAAGGCAUGAAAUCAGAAUGAGAAAAAAGCAGCAUGUAACAGUGUGGAGGUCACGUCAGACGCAGAGAAAGGCUCCUCUCACUUAUCCCUUCCUCAUCAAAGCUAACUCACAGAACUGACAGACCACAGAAGAUCCCAGUCCUCUGCUUCAGCCCCUCCGAGGGACUCGUCCGAAUUUGCUGAGUUUUCACAAUGUCAUCGUUCAAUGAGGACGAUUCAUUUACCCACAAAUCUCAUGGAAAUGUUUGCACACAGACACACAGGAGAUUUCCUUCAUUGAUUCCAACUCGCUCAUCCGAAUUGUCCUCUUACAAUAGAUUACUCAGUAUUAUUCAGUGAAAAUAAGUAGGAAUUUUUGUAUGAGGGGCUCAGAAUUUAUGACCUGCUCACUAAUACUACAUUAACGUUAUCAAGUGCUGGGUUUUAGACAGAAUUGAUUUGAACUAAUGCUUUCUUCACCUUGCUACAUAAGUCUUCAUUAGCCAAAACUCCUGACUUCACACUAACCCGCUGUCAAUACACACCAAGCCUUUAUUAAUAUCCUCCCAUUUGCCAAAGGCAGAGCACAGCUCUUCCUCCCUCAGCCUGGCCUUAAUCUCACCUCUGUCAUGAUACCAAUCUGGACAGACUGAAUACCGCUGUCCUGAUGCAGUUCCAUUAGAGAUGGGUCUGAAUGCAAUCCUAUUAAAGACGCCGCUAAUCUCAAAAACGUUUGGCUGGAUAGACAAGUAAGCAAAAAAAGAAAGUAGGCUCUUAGAAACACAAUGCCUGAACAUUCACGUGAAAUAGACUGAGGUUGAGGUAUUGAUCUGAAUAAUCGAGCCAAUUAUUACGUCUUUUAUUAUUUCCUUUUCUUCUCAGUACACAGAACUUGUCAGGCAUUUCAGCGAAAUUGUUACACCUAAUCAGGUAAACGUGUCUUACUUACUGUUCCUUUAUCCAAAUAAUUACUCAGUACUCUUGAGUUUGUACCAGAAAGGAAAGUAGGAGCUUUAAAAGAAUGUAUUAACACUUAAAAGUAAUGAAUUUACAGAUGCGUGUUAAUAUAUAAAGAUGAUAAAUGUACUCUAUAUUAAAGUUAGUGAGUAUUGAAGUAACACGAGUUAAAAUUCAAACCAGUUCAGUGGUUGACUACAGGCUAGUACGCGGUGCGCUCGCCGCUGUGGAACCAACCCCAGCCACUGGAGGGUCGCACGAGUCAGCGCGCACUCAGGGC
ensembl:lncRNA